UAAGUUCUCAGUAAAGAGCGUAUUUUCACAAUAAUCGCUCCUGUAGCAUACCUGUAUUUUUUGCUCUAAACGCGACUUUACCAACUCCAAGUUAAACUGAGAGGACUUUGGAGCAGACGUCUAAAUUUGUUAUAAACCAUUUUUAAAAAACCAACAUACUUGUAUGUAUUUAGAGAAUCGUUUAGCAACUAGGGAACCAGCCAAUUGAAGUCCAGUUCUAACA